rnacentral:rRNA from 1 species
GAUGAACGCUGGCGGCGUGCCUAAUACAUGCAAGUCGAGCGAACGGACGAGAAGCUUGCUUCUCUGAUGUUAUCGGCGGACGGGUGAGUAACACGUGGAUAACCUACCUAUAAGACUGGGAUAACUUCGGGAAACCGGAGCUAAUACCGGAUAAUAUUUUGAACCGCAUGGUUCAAAAGUGAAAGACGGUCUUGCUGUCACUUAUAGAUGGAUCCGCGCUGCAUUAGCUAGUUGGUAAGGUGACGGCUUACCAAGGCAACGAUGCAUAGCCGACCUGAGAGGGUGAUCGGCCACACUGGAACUGAGACACGGUCCAGACUCCUACGGGAGGCAGCAGUAGGGAAUCUUCCGCAAUGGGCGAAAGCCUGACGGAGCAACGCCGCGUGAGUGAUGAAGGUCUUCGGAUCGUAAAACUCUGUUAUUAGGGAAGAACAUAUGUGUAAGUAACUGUGCACAUCUUGACGGUACCUAAUCAGAAAGCCACGGCUAACUACGUG